GAGUACUCCCACUCGCCGUCCUGCCCCAGCAGAACCUGCUCGCCCAGGUAGUCGCCGUCGGCGAGCACCCCCAGCACGCUCUCGUUGUCAUAGGCGCCCUGCGCCACCUUGGCCACCUUGCCGUGCGCGAUGAGCACCACCUCGUCGCGCGGCCGCCCCGCCUCGACGAUCACCUCACCCUGGGCCACCUCCCGCUGGGAGAAACGGCUCGACAGCGCGGCCAGCGCGUCCUGGUCCUCGAACCCGCGCAGCGCGGGCAGCUCGGCCAGCUCGCCGGGGAUGACCCGCACAUCCGCGCCCGUCGAGGUGAAGGUCACCCGCCCGUCGCCCAGCGCGUACGUGAGCCGGCGGUUGACCCGAUAGACCCCGCCGAUCGCCUGGACCCACGGCAGGACCCGCAGCAGGUGCCGCGAGGUGAUCUCCUGCAUCUGCGGCACCGACUUGGUCGUCGUCGCCAGGUUCCGUGCCGCCGCUGUGCCAAGGCUGAGCUGGUCGUCCGU
rnacentral:antisense_RNA from 1 species